GGGUUGCCUGUAGUCAAUCAUAGUUUCCAUUAUGUACAGGUGUGCUUACAUCUGGGGAAGGAAUUGGUUUUCUGUGGUGAUUCUGGGAUUGGCUGUCCCUAAGCAGAUUAAAUAGACCUAGUGACAAGUCUUACCAAUGUGUGUGUGCCAUAAGUUCAGUGUGGUUAACAUGAACAACCCAAUAUGAUUUUAACCAUGGAUAUAGAAAAGACAAUCAAACAUGGAGCUUGUGAUAUGGUGGAACAGAUUUGCAGGUAUUCGUUAAAGCAACUUGAUCAAGCUGACAGAUUGAGAAAGGAGAAUUAAAGAAAGGGUACAAGUCUUAAUCAAGUGUCCCGGAGCAGAUCUUUUGACUUAUGGAUAUCUUACGAAUUCAGUUGUGUCAAAGACUAAAUUUUGAAGAUACACAGAACAUUAAUGCUUACAGAGUUGAACUUUUCCUGAAUGGACUGUGGUUUAAACCAUUACUGUAGUGAUCACUAAACAAUUUCUUAUAUUGAUAUAGAUCUAUAUGUAGGUUUUUUUGGUGUGGUUUUUGUUUAAGUUGGUUUGGUUUUGACUGGCGGUUGUGUGUAUGAGUAGUGUAGUUGUGAGUUGUUUUACAAGAUCUUAUAUUUGAUUGAAUCUUGUGUGAUA